CAUCCACAGGUAUGUGUAAUGUUGUUGGGCAUGGACAGGACGUCUAUUCAUUGAACAUGUCAUCAGACAGAAAGAAAUGGUUACCAGCUUGGAUUCAACUUCAAAGGGCCUUGAUGCCAAGCAGAUGGCAGCUAUGUUAUUCAAACUGAAUGGAGAAUGUGUCUUUUCUUAAAUCUCUUCUCCAGAAAGCGAAUACAGUUACCUAGCAGCAGUCCUGUUAAAGUGAUACCCUAAAAGAACAACAAAAAUGUCAAGAUUAUGUCAAUUGGUCAGGAUUCCUCAUGCCUUGAAUAUUCAGAUGAUGCUGUGAAUUUCAUUAGACAUCAGUGCUUUCUUGACCCCUUCACCCAAACAAUCUCAUAGCAGUCAAGUACUCAGAGCUCAGGACAGUAGAAGUUGAAUCAUCUCAAGAAACAAAGAAGGGUUGAAAGAGGAUACUUUUGAGGUCUGAAAGGU